UAAGUAGCACACCUCGUUUAGAAUUGUUGACGAAAGCACCAGCUUCUUGGAGAACCUCAGGCCCAUUGAGGGUGGAAUGUGUGCUUCUCAAGUACCUGAGGUCACCUGCAGAUACCAGAGGACACAGAUCUGGGAUUUGUGCAUGGUGACCAGUGAAGACCUCUGGCUCAACAGAGAAAACAUGGAGGCUUUGGUCCCCCGCCAUUCCCCAGAGAACCACAGAUGACUGCAGCCUCUGUCCCACUGUCACAACCUGUGACUCUGAGGUGCAAAUUUGGCCGUGCCGGAGAGGUAAUUUUAGGGAGCUCCUGGAAUUCUGAGCCGAAUGUUUUGUUUCUCACCCUUCCCAACGUCCCCGUCGCUUGUCACUUGCUGAGGGAUUGACUGAAAGCUUGAAAUGCAAACUCAAGACGUUGGGCAUCCAGCGGAAGGGGGAAGCCUGAAAACAAAGAAAACUCCCCAAAGGCCAGGAGUGAGAGCUGCAUCGCCUUGUUCCCCAACUACACCCCUGCCUCAGACUUGUGUUUGCAAGGGAAGCUUGUGCGGUGUCACCUUGGGAAGUGCUCGUCUCUCUGAAGCAAUGUUUCGUGGCUUGGCUGUAAUUGUCCUGGGAAAUGGAAAUAAAUAAUCUAAAUAAAUUUAUAACUACUUU
rnacentral:lncRNA from 1 species